rnacentral:rRNA from 1 species
UACGUAGGGUGCGAGCGUUGUCCGGAUUUAUUGGGCGUAAAGAGCUCGUAGGCGGCUCGUCACGUCGGAUGUGAAAACUCGGGGCUUAACUCCGAGCCUGCAUUCGAUACGGGCGGGCUAGAAUUCGGUAGGGGAGACUGGGACUCCUGGUGUAGCGGUGAAAUGCGCAGAUAUCAGGAGGAACACCGAUGGCGAAGGCAGGUCUCUGGGCCGAUAUUGACGCUGAGGAGCGAAAGCGUGGGGAGCGAACAGG